AUUUAUGCCUGUCUCUAAUAAAAAUACAAAAUUAGCUUGGCGUGGUGGUGCACACCUGCAAUCCCAGCUACUCGGGAGGCUGAGACAGGAAAAUCACUUGAAUCUGGGAGGCAGAGGUUGCAGUAAGCCUGCAAGUUUCUUGUAUCAAUUCGAACCCCGAGAGUGCGCCAACAAACAACACGAGGCAAUGUGGAGCAACACGCUGUUUUCAUGAGCGCCUGGGUGCAGGCGCGCUGGGGUCUAAAAGGGCAUCAGCCCCAAGUGAGGACGGGACAUGGGUUUCAUAGUCCACUGUAAACAGGAAGUGUCCCAGUCUGACGUGACUGCUACGUAGUACCCGGACAGCCUCCCUCUGGAUCUUCAGGGGGUAGACAAGGUUUUGCCAUGUUGUCUAGGUUUGUCUCCAACUCCUGAGCUCAAGCAAUCUGUCCGACUCUGCCUCCCAAAGUGCUGCGAUUACCGAUGUUACUCCUUGUGCUUUUAAUAUCAAAUUUCCUAAAGCCUUAUUGUACCGGCUAGAAACCUCAGUACGAUGUGGCAUAAUAGUGACUGAAUGGAAGUGUGAGUGAUCAAUACUACUGGGCUGUGGUGAAAGUCCUGAUACUCUACAAUGUUUCCUCUGACACCAUCCAAAAGAGGAAGACAUGAGAAGGGAACCUGAGAACACUGCUUAGGUAGCAAUCUGUAUUCCUCGCUGUGGUCACUGCUUUUCCAGAGGGGUAUGGGUUUGCCUGGCUAUUGCCUGGUAGGGAUGUAAGGUCUGGACUUAUAACUAUAUUUCUUUGAUACCACCUUAGUAAGAGUUCUGGGGUGUCUAAUUUUGGCCUGAAGAGCAUGAAAUCUUAAAUUUCCUACUAGGUCUGUUGUGGUAUGGGUACAAAUAGGGGGACUUAUAUUUUUUCUGAAAUAUUUGUCUGUAUAGUGCAAUUAUUGUCUAAAGGUUUUGUCUGUACCCUUUGGUAUUUCCAGUUGUCAGUUUCUUUGGCUCUAAAUUCAUGAUAUAGAAAGAAAAACAAACAAAAAGAAAAACAAGGAUCUCACUAUCCUGUAGUUCCUUGGGUCCAGAGGUCUCUAUUUAGUCCUGUUUUUUCUCUGCCUUUCAGAGUCUUCUUAUAAUUUUCAUAUGUAUUGCCUAAGGUUUUUAUUUGUACUUAGCAGAAAGAGUAGGGAAAAUACAACUACUGCAACUUUCUAGAAGUCUUAUAAAAUCUUUUUAAGCAUAAAAACCGUAAAGUCAUAUAUACUUGUGUGUCCAUUAAUCUAUAUUAUCUGUAUUUUGUACAUGUAUAGAGAGGUUUCUAACAAUAUUUGAAAAAUUUAACUAUAUCUGCUGUUUUAAGUACCAACUCGUUAUUUCAUCCACUCAAAGUUAAACUUUUAAUCAUGUAUGUGUUAUUCUGUUCUCUGUCAUCUGCAAAUUUGGUAUUUUCCAUAGAUUGAUUAAAAUUAUUGAUAAAAUGUUGAUAAAACAGAAGAUAGGACUCCAGAUAAAGCUAUGACAUACUGUAUUUUAUCAAUUACUUAUUUAUAUGUACAUCCAGCAACUGCUUUUUCAAUGUUUUUUCAUGACCAGUGAUUGUAUUAAUUAAUGGCCAUAAAAAUCUAAAAAGCAAACAAAAACACAAAAACAAAAAUACAAACAAACAAAAAAUGAAAACCACCUUCUAUUCCCCGAAGUUUAUACAUCUGGUAAGUGAAGUAGAGAGAUGCUCAUGCAUGC
rnacentral:lncRNA from 10 species